rnacentral:rRNA from 1 species
CCUACGGGUGGCUGCAGUGGGGAAUAUUGGACAAUGGGCGAAAGCCUGAUCCAGCCAUGCCGCGUGUGUGAAGAAGGCCUUCGGGUUGUAAAGCACUUUCAGUGGGGAAGAAAGCCUUGGGGCUAAUACCCUCGAGGAAGGACAUCACCCACAGAAGAAGCACCGGCUAACUCCGUGCCAGCAGCCGCGGUAAUACGGAGGGUGCGGAGCGUUAAUCGGAAUUACUGGGCGUAAAGCGCGCGUAGGCGGUCUGAUAAGCCGGUUGUGAAAGCCCCGGGCUCAACCUGGGAACGGCAUCCGGAACUGUCAGGCUAGAGUGCAGGAGAGGAAGGUAGAAUUCCCGGUGUAGCAGUGAAAUGCGUAGAGAUCGGGAGGAAUACCAGUGGCGAAGGCGGCCUUCUGGACUGACACUGACGCUGAGGUGCGAAAGCGUGGGUAGCAAACAGGAUUAGAUACCCCAGUAGUC